GAUGAAGAACGUAGCGAAAUGCGAUAAGUAACGUGAAUUGCAGAAUUCAGUGAAUCAUCGAAUCUUUGAACGCACCUUGCGCCCUUUGGCCAUUCCGAAGGGCAUGCCUGUUUGAGUAUCAUGAACACCUCAACUCUCAUGGCUUGCCAUGAUGAGCUUGGACUUUGGGGGUCUUGCUGGCCUGUGGUCGGCUCCUCUCAAAUGAAUCAGCUUGCCAGUGUUUGGUGGCAUCACAAGUGUGAUAACUAUCUGCGCUCGUGGUUUCCAUCAGAUAACCUCCAGUGAUGGAGGUUCGCUGGGGCUCAUAAAUGUCUCUCCUAAGUGAGGACAGCUCUUUUAAUGUUUGAUCUCAAAUCAGGUAGGACUACCCGCUGAACUUAAGCAUAUCAAUAAGCGGAGGA
rnacentral:misc_RNA from 1 species